rnacentral:rRNA from 1 species
CACGUAGGGUGCGAGCGUUGUCCGGAAUUAUUGGGCGUAAAGAGCUCGUAGGCGGUGUGUCGCGUCGGCCGUGAAAACUUGCAGCUUAACUGUGGGCGUGCGGUCGAUACGGGCAUCACUGGAGUUCGGCAGGGAGACUGGAAUUCCUGGUGAUAGCGGUGAAAUGCGCAGAUAUCAGGAGGAACACCGGUGGCGAAGGCGGGUCUCUGGACAGUUCUGACACU